ensembl:lincRNA
GCAAUCUGACCCUGCUCUUCAGAAACUGCUUAGUCAAAGCUUGUCUCCCAGCCUGGUCAGCUGCUUUCAGGUCAUUUUUUUUUUUUUUUUUUUUUUUUUAGUCUUCUACACCAACAGUCUGUGCUGAUUCAGGCUCUGUAUGUCCUAAACAGGAUCUCCAUUUAGUGGCACCACUCUCAACCUAGUAAUUCAAGCCAAAAAGCUGGGAGCCAGCUGUUACAUAUCCCCUGACAUGGAACUUGCCCAGUUUUACCAGGGAAACCCUGACUGAGUCUCUUCCACAUCAACAACUGCAAAGGCCCUAGGGCAUCUUGUUGGGUCUUCCUGUCUCCUCCACACUACAAAGAUGGGUUACAGAAGCAUCUGCAUCCUUCCAGGGUCUUCUUCAAGUACACGAGCCUACUCUUCUGUAUGACUUCCUGUUCCAUGAUUGCUCUGAGGAGUGUGCAGCAGCUGGAGAUGCUUUCCCUGACACCUUCCUCCAUGGCUCAGUUAACACAUUUGGAUAAGGAGUGGCCAGGGGUACACAGCUACAAGCAAGUUUUCCUUCCUUCAGUGAAAAUGAAAUUGUAUCCAUAGCAGUGAAGACUGGUACCCUUUCUCCGCUCUGCCACUUAUAAAUAAUUUUUGUAUUUCAGAAAACUUGAAGAUGACAAAACAAACACAAAAAUCAGUCUUCAAUCCAGGCAUGGUGGUGCACACCUGUAAUCCCAGUGGCUCAGGAGGCUGCAACAGGAGGAUCACAAGUUCAAAGCUAGCCUCAACAACUUAGUGAGGCCCCCAAGCAACUCAGGAAGACCCUGUCUCAAAACAAAAGAUUUUUUAAAAGGGCUGGGGAUGUGGCUAAGAGCCCCUGAGUUUAAUAAGUUUUGCUUGUAGCAAAAAAAGCAGCAGCAGCAAAAACAACAACAAAGCAGUCUUCAAAAAGAAGGCCUUAACUUUAGGGUAAAUGUGCUAUGCAGAUGAUUCAUGCUUUUUCAGAUCUGUUUCUUCGUCAGGAAAUUCUUAGGCAAAGAGAAAAUAUUUGCCCACAGGAGAAGGAAUUGUGUUAUCAUUAUUUGCUGCCAUCACUUCUGUGCCUAAAAGGCACUUGAUAGAUACUUUUGGGACAAAUUGAUCCAUAAUCUAGUGAAUAUACUUGCAAUUUUAUUUUAUUUUAUUUUAUUUUUGGUACCAGGGAUUGAACUCAGGGGCACUGGACCACUAAGCCAUAUCCCCACCCCUAUUUUUAUUUUAUUUAGAGACAGGGUCUCACUGAGUUGCUUAGCACCUUGCUUUUGCUGAGGCUGGCUUUGAACUCAUGAUCCUCCUGUCUCAACCUCUGGAGCUGCUGGGAUUGCAGGCAUGCACUACAGUACCAGGCUGCAAUUUUUUUCUAAAAGACAUUUUAUAUGAAUGGUCAUGUUUUUUUACAGAAAGUUUCUUUAAAAAGUGUGUCAUUUUUGUUUUCUGAGUAUGAAAACCUUUGGGACUUUUGAAAAGAAAGAAAAUAUAUUUCAACCAUUCCCUCUUCUUUCAGAUUUAGACUGGUUAGUUUUAACUACUUCUAACAUGUGAUAUAAUAUACUAAUUUAUUAUGUUCAUUUUCCAUCUUCUGCUAGAAAUUAGACUGCACAAGAGUAGAAAUUUUUCCUGUUUUGUUUACUCUGGGCUUCUAGAAUGUGCUCAAUAAAUAUUUCAAGUGGAUUAAUGUGGCAUAAUUUGCCUUUUUUUUUGUAUUCAUGGUUAAUUGGAUGUCUCUCCUACUAAAAUAAAUUUCCCACAAGGUCCGAGAU